rnacentral:rRNA from 1 species
GCGGACGGGUGAGUAAUGCCUGGGGAGCUGCCCAAUCGAGGGGGAUACCAGUUGGAAACGACUGCUAAUACCGCAUACGCCCUGAGGGGGAAAGGUGGGGAUCUUCGGACCUACCGCGAUUGGAUGCGCCCAGGUGGGAUUAGCUAGUUGGUGAGGUAACGGCUCACCAAGGCGACGAUCUCUAGCUGGUCUGAGAGGAUGACCAGCCACACUGGAACUGAGACACGGUCCAGACUCCUACGGGAGGCAGCAGUGGGGAAUAUUGCACAAUGGGGGAAACCCUGAUGCAGCCAUGCCGCGUGUGUGAAGAAGGCCUUCGGGUUGUAAAGCACUUUCAGUCAGGAGGAAAGGUGGCUAGCUAAUACCUAGUUGCUGUGACGUUACUGACAGAAGAAGCACCGGCUAACUCCGUGCCAGCAGCCGCGGUAAUACGGAGGGUGCAAGCGUUAAUCGGAAUUACUGGGCGUAAAGCGCACGCAGGCGGCUUGUUAAGUCAGAUGUGAAAGCCCCGGGCU